ACGCUGGCGGCAGGCCUAACACAUGCAAGUCGAGCGGUAGAGAGGAGCUUGCUCCUCUUGAGAGCGGCGGACGGGUGAGUAAUGCCUAGGAAUCUGCCUGGUAGUGGGGGAUAACGUUCGGAAACGGACGCUAAUACCGCAUACGUCCUACGGGAGAAAGCAGGGGACCUCCGGGCCUUGCGCUAUCAGAUGAGCCUAGGUCGGAUUAGCUAGUUGGUGAGGUAAUGGCUCACCAAGGCGACGAUCCGUAACUGGUCUGAGAGGAUGAUCAGUCACACUGGAACUGAGACACGGUCCAGACUCCUACGGGAGGCAGCAGUGGGGAAUAUUGGACAAUGGGCGAAAGCCUGAUCCAGCCAUGCCGCGUGUGUGAAGAAGGUCUUCGGAUUGUAAAGCACUUUAAGUUGGGAGGAAGGGCAGUAAAUUAAUACUUUGCUGUUUUGACGUUACCGACAGAAUAAGCACCGGCUAACUCUGUGCCAGCAGCCGCGGUAAUACAGAGGGUGCAAGCGUUAAUCGGAAUUACUGGGCGUAAAGCGCGCGUAGGUGGUUUGUUAAGUUGGAUGUGAAAUCCCCGGGCUCAACCUGGGAACUGCAUUCAAAACUGACUGACUAGAGUAUGGUAGAGGGUGGUGGAAUUUCCUGUGUAGCGGUGAAAUGCGUAGAUAUAGGAAGGAACACCAGUGGCGAAGGCGACCACCUGGACUAAUACUGACACUGAGGUGCGAAAGCGUGGGGAGCAAAC
rnacentral:rRNA from 1 species